UAAGGACAUUGUGAUGGUUAAUUCUACGUGUUAACUUGAGUGGGCCAAAGGGUGCUCAGAUAUUCAUUUAACAUUAUUCUGGUUGGAAGCAGAAUCAACAUCCUCUUGGUUCCAUUUCUCUGAACCCUGACUAACAUAGUGCUGGUUUAGUGUGCUGUGGACAAAGGGAUGGAGCUCUGAAAUAAAGGCAUAAUUUGUCUCAAUAAAGAGGCAAGCCAGGAUAAAACUCUCUGCUGUUCUGUUUCACAGCCUCCAGCAGGAGCAGGGCAGAGGUAUUCCUACUGUCCAAUUCACAGCAAUGAUCAGGAGAACCUCUGGGGUCAACUGCCAACUUCUAUUCAGCAACUUCAAAGAAAGCUUUUUUGCUGGGAAAUCAAAAGUGAAAACACCCUAUGAUGAACCAAGUCUCUACUGGAUCUGAUGCUGGACAAGCACUUUGAGUGGCCUGGCUUAUUGCAUAUCCAUGUAUUCUACACAGAUACAGAUAUUCUAUAUACAGAGGGCACCAGGUCUCAAAGACCAGUCUGUCAUGGGGAACUGCCUCCACUCCAAAGAAAAAUAAGGAACAUUGCUUUUUCACCAAUGUAAAGGAAAAUAUCAUUUUAAAAAAC